UACGUAGGUGACAAGCGUUUGUCCGGAUUUACUGGGCGUAAAGAGCGCGCAGGCGGUCGAUCAAGUCGAGUGUGAAAGCCCCCGGCUCAACUGGGGAGGGUCAUUCGAAACUGGUCGACUCGAAGGCAGGAGAGGGUAGUGGAAUUCCCGGUGUAGUGGUGAAAUGCGUAGAUAUCGGGAGGAACACCAGUGGCGAAGGCGACUACCUGGCCUGUUCUUUGACGCUGAGGCGCGAAAGCUAGGGGAGCAAACGGG
rnacentral:rRNA from 1 species